rnacentral:rRNA from 1 species
CCUACGGGUGGCAGCAGUGAGGAAUAUUGGUCAAUGGUCGGGAGACUGAACCAGCCAAGCCGCGUGAGGGAUGAAGGUACAGAGUAUCGUAAACCUCUUUUGUCAGGGAACAAAGGCGGGGACGCGUCCCCGGCUGAGGGUACCUGAAGAAAAAGCAUCGGCCAACUCCGUGCCAGCAGCCGCGGUAAUACCGAGGAUGCGAGCGGUAUCCGGAUUUAUUGGGGUUAAAGGGUGCGCAGGCGGUCUUUUAAGUCAGCGGUAAAAGCUCGGGGCUCAACCCCGGCCCGCCGUUGAAACUGGCAGUCUCGAGUUGGAGAGAAGUAUGCGGAAUGCGCGGUGUAGCGGUGAAAUGCAUAGAUAUCGCGCAGAACUCCGAUUGCGAAGGCAGCAUGCCGGCUCCACACUGACGCUGAGGCACGAAAGCGUGGGUAUCGAACAGGAUUAGAUACCCGAGUAGUC